CCUGCUGGUUCAGACAUCUCAGUUUAUUAGUUUUUAAACAAGGUUUGGAGCGGUUCUGUAAUUUUCUCUGAAGCAAAAAUGUGGACUGUACCUCUCCUGGGUUGUUUUUUGAUGUUCCUCUUUUGUGGUGGCAGCAAUGCCCGCACUGCAGGUCGAGAGUUUGCCACGGCAUUCAUGCAAAACUACAUUGCCUACUAUGGCAGCCCUGUCUUCCAGCUUCAGAUCACCUCCGUUCACUCCAACUGUAGCUUGACGGUAAGCGUGCCCAACCUCCGCUUCUUCCAAAAGGAGCAGCUGACCGCAGGCCAGGGUGU